CCGCGGGCAAACAGGCACGCACCUGCCUGCACAGAACCUCAGCCUCUGCCCGCGCCCGUCGCCCCUCGUCACUUGUUCCCCAGGAUCCUGUACUUUUAAUGUUUUUGCUUGACUUCAGCCAGUGGAAUAAAAAAGCCUUUUCAUUCUGUCUCAUCUAAGAGCUGUUUUCUCCCAGCAAAAACUGAUGCAUUUGAAACCAACGGGAUAGGAUUCAAAACUAGGUGACAAACUCAUGAGAAAUCCAACCUGGCUGAAUGUCUGAGAGGCUGCUACUGUAUCAACAUCACAAGAUAAAGCACUCUGGUAUCACCUGCCCAUAUCCUCCUUAGUGUCACCCAAGACAUUUGACUCUGAUGUGGUUAAUUGAUAACUUUUCUUGCUCCACUUUACAAUGUUUUGUUUCCUACAUCUUAUUACCUUGGGACACAAAAGUGGCAGAGUUGUUGAGAGCUGAUGACAAUAAAAAGGAGAACACUAGAGGAAAUGAGACAGGAAAGAAAGCCAAAGCUGAUUUUCCAACUCUAUGCUGACUCCAACCUGCAGAAAAAGCUGAAUAUAGAAAUCUUCUUCCAUAUAUGAUGAAGUCACUCCACUUACGACAUAACACACAAAGGAAUCACCUGGCUUUUUUUUUUUAACCCAGAAGAGUUGUGCUGGGGACCAUGCCCCAUCCCGCUGAUACAGAUCCUGAAUGGAAUAAUCAGGAAUGGCACAGUGCAGGUGUCAAUAUCAAAGUAAGGCCGCAGAAUUUUUGAGAGGACCCUCCAAAUACUGAGAACUUCUGUUGCACUCGAAACAGUCUCCUGGAUUUCUAUAUUUUUAUGUGAA
ensembl:lncRNA novel transcript, antisense to MED1 & FBXL20